CCUACGGGUGGCAGCAGUGGGGAAUAUUGCACAAUGGGGGAAACCCUGAUGCAGCGACGCCGCGUGAGUGAAGAAGUAAUUCGUUAUGUAAAGCUCUAUCAGCAGGGAAGAAAAUGACGGUACCUGAGUAAGAAGCCCCGGCUAACUACGUGCCAGCAGCCGCGGUAAUACGUAGGGGGCAAGCGUUAUCCGGAUUUACUGGGUGUAAAGGGAGCGUAGACGGCAGUGCAAGUCUGGAGUGAAAGGCGGGGGCUCAACCCCCGGACUGCUCUGGAAACUGUACGGCUGGAGUGCAGGAGAGGGGAGUAGAAGUACCGGUGGAGGGGUGAAAGGAGGAGUGAGUAGGAGGAAGAGCGGUGGCGAAGG
rnacentral:rRNA from 1 species